GAUUCCGGGGGUGGCUCUUUGAGCAUCUUUUUCAAACUAACACCUUAUAACUCCGAAAAUUCUAAAAUAUUCAAUUUUUUUUUAACCUUUUCGGUAUUUCAACUCAAUCUUCAUGUGGUAGCUUCACACACUUGCCGGACGACCGGGGUGGUAGCUCUUUCCUACAUGUGGUGGUAGUUUUCACACUCCUUUUGGAUGUAACUCUUUUUACAUCUUUUAAACAUAGGAGUUUUCCCUUUUUUUAUUUUUUCAAUAAUUUCAAACUCUCCCUAAAUUAGACAAUCUCACAAUUGAAAGUAAUUUUAACAAAAUUUUAGUCGAUUAGUGAAUAUCCAUCCAUCAUAUUCAACACUCACAACCGAGAUAGAUUAAUUACCAAGAGAUCAAAUUUGAUUUCAAAAUUUUGUUGAAUAUAUGUAUUAAGAAAUCAUAUAUUAAAUUAUCGUCAAAAUAAUAAAUAGUGGAGUAAAACCGAUAAUUAAUAUGAAGUUAAUUCAAGAUGAAUUCCGGUUAAAACACAUUG
rnacentral:lncRNA from 1 species